UUCCCUGGCGGACCGUAAGGGGCGGGGCCUACGGGGAGCGGAGGAAUUAAAAGAAACUGGGCGGGCCUUAAGUAAACUUGGGGGCUUGGGCUUGGUGGGCGAGGUCUUAAGGAGCGAGUAGCCGGUGUGGGAGCGGUAUUUUGGCCGCGGGAGAGCUGGUACCGAGUGGGCGGGGCCAUUGUGAGGGGGAGACCGGCGUGGAAUUGUUAGCUCGCUCACUUAUGCUAUGCAGCAUGGAGCAUCGAACUCUAGCUUCUUUCCCGGCACUGUGGGCCUCCAUCCCCUGUCCACGUUCGGAGCUGCGCCUGGACCUGGUUCUGGCUUCCGGACAGUCUUUCCGGUGGAGGGAACAAAACCCGGCGCAUUGGACUGGCGUGCUGGCGAACCAGGUAUGGACACUGACUCAGACUGAGGAGCAGCUCUACUGUACUGUGUACCGAGGCGAUAAGGGAUGGGUUGGCAGACCCACACCAGAAGAGCUAAAGACUGUGUACCAGUACUUCCAGCUGGAUGUCAGCCUGGCUCAACUUUAUCACCAUUGGAGUUCCGUGGACCCCCACUUUCAAGAGGUGGCUCAGAAAUUCCAAGGUGUGCGACUCCUACAACAGGACCCCAUCGAGUGCCUUUUCUCCUUCAUCUGUUCCUCCAACAACAACAUUGCUCGCAUAACUGGCAUGGUAGAACGACUCUGUGAGGCCUUUGGACCUCGGCUCAUCCAGCUUGAUGAUGUCACCUACCAUGGCUUCCCUAGCCUGCAGGCCCUGGCUGGGCCAGAGGUAGAGGUGCAGCUCAGGACGCUGGGCCUGGGGUACCGUGCCCGCUAUGUGAGUGCCAGUGCCCGAGCCAUCCUAGAAGAACAGGGCGGGCUGCCCUGGCUGCAGCAGCUGCGCAAGGCCCCCUACGAGGAGACCCACAAGGCCCUCUGCACUUUGCCCGGGGUGGGCACCAAGGUGGCUGACUGCAUCUGCUUGAUGGCCCUAGACAAGCCCCAGGCCGUGCCUAUAGAUGUCCACAUGUGGCAGAUCGCCCAGCGUGACUAUAGCUGGCACCCCACCACAUCUCAGGCCAAGGGUCCAAGCCCCCAGGCUAACAAGGAACUGGGAACCCAGAGCUGCCACCAAGAGCAGUGUCUGUUCCACCCACUGUUGGCCAGAGUGAAAAGAUGGGCCAGACUGGGCUAUGGCAAGUCUGCCACGGGGCUGGAACUCUAGGAAACAGGAAGCAGUGAUCGACUGACCAGAGGAAGUACCACCCUGGAUUCAGCUUCCCCAGCCAGCCAGUCCCAAGAGUAACAGAAUCCCAACCAAAGCCAGCUUCAUCAGAGAGGUUAACUGUGACUCCAACAGCUGAUUGCAAGACUGAAGGAAGAACACCAUGGAUCAGGAUCUUGGCACAGAAUUUGCUUUCUUGCAUCUCUCCUUGUCUCGAUUUCUCUGCAUGUUGGCUUCCCUUCUACUGCAGGGUGAUCACUCUGCCUGGCAGAAAACAUGGUGUGAGGCAGACCCAGCUUUCCAAAUGAACCCAGCAGGAGAGCUAUACCCAGUUUCAUGUAUCAGUCUCAGGGAAGGACUCUGACGAGUUGUAUUAGAGUAACAUGCCUACUGCUUGGCCCCAAAUAAACUAUUGCCAAGGAAA